rnacentral:rRNA from 1 species
UCGCCUCAAAUCAGGUAGGACUACCCGCUGAACUUAA